rnacentral:rRNA from 1 species
AGCGGUGGAGUAUGUGGCUCAAUUCGAUGCAACGCGAAGAACCUUACCAGGCCCUGACAGCAUCUCUACGUUGCGAAAGCCAGCGAGUCCGAAAGGGGACAAUUUGCACAGUGCUGCAUGGCUGUCGUCAGCUCGUGUCGUGAGAUGUUGGGUUAAGUCCCGCAACGAGCACAACCCCUGUGAACUGUUGCCACCGAGCCGAGAGGCUCGAGCACUCUGUUCAGACUGCCCCGCUUUAACGGGGAGGAAGGUGGGGACGACGUCAAGUCAGUAUGG